rnacentral:rRNA from 1 species
GACGAACGCUGGCGGCGUGCCUAACACAUGCAAGUUGAGCGACGAACCAGGGCUUGCCCUGGGGCAAAGCAGCGAACGGGUGAGUAACACGUGGGUAACCUACCCCGAUAACCGGGACAACCCGAGGAAACUCGGGCUAAUACCGGAUGUGCUCACUGGACUUCGGUUCAGUGCGUAAAGGAAGCUUCGGCCUCCGUAUCGGGAGGGGCCCGCGGCCCAUUAGUUUGUUGGUGAGGUAACGGCUCACCAAGACCGCGAUGUGUAGCUGGUCUGAGAGGACGAUCAGCCACACUGGGACUGAGACACGGCCCAGACUCCUACGGGAGGCAGCAGUGGGGAAUCUUGCGCAAUGCGCGAAAGCGUGACGCAGCAACGCCGCGUGGGGGAAGAAGGCCUUCGGGUUGUAAACCCCUUUCAGGAGGGACGAAGGUUCGGCGGUGAAUAGCCGUCCGGACUGACGGUACCUCCACAAGAAGCCCCGGCUAACUACGUG